ensembl:lncRNA
AGUUUUGGAGUUCUGCCUUUAGAGUCCCAUAUGUGGCUGUGCAGAGACUGUGUGGAUCUUCUCACACAUCCAUAUCAAAGCUUUUAAAACACUUCAGAAUUACAACAAUCCCUUUGGUGUCCAAUGGGCCAGCUUGAUAAUUUCUCAACCCAGCUCCUCAAAAUUGUCAAAAAAAGGAGGAGCAGCGUCACAGAAGAUCACAAACAUCCUGUCAGUUAUGGAUCAGCAUGCCACUAUUGGGAAAAAAGGGAAUGCAUCCUGAAAUCCCUGGCAGAUCUUCUUAAUGAAGAGCCCUCAAACCUCGUGAAGGAGUAUAUGGAUGUUGAACAUGAAGAUGCCCUAACCUAAAUGUGCAACACCACCCUUGGGAUCAUUACUGAAGGCAUCCGUAUACUUCAAAAUCUAAAUAAUGUGCCAAAUGCGUGCUCUGUGCUGCUUGGUGUAAUUUACGCAUUGAACUUGUUUUCUCCAUAGUGUUGCACUGUUGGCUACUGCAGUACAUUUGUUUCAUUAUUGCCCAUGUCAUAUUCCUUUUAAAUUGGUCUUGCUUUAAAUAACAGAUGCAUUUUUUUCAGUUUCAAGGAGGCACAUAUUACAAAUGAAGACUGACAUUUUUUUCCCUAAGUGUAAUACUUGCAUGUGAGUAUUUUGUAAAUCCUUUUGAAGGCAGCAUACUUUUUAUUUUUACUUCUUUUCUUGUAUUAAGUGAAGAACUUUGAUUUUAAAAAAGAAGCAUUUGUACAAAUUCUUGUUGGAGAAAUUUGUAAAAUUUGUAAUGUUUUGAAUGGACAUUGAAUAAACUCAAUGAAACUUGAUUGUUUUUAUUGAAGGUGACUAUAUUAAUUUUAGAAUAAUUGAACUUAAUUAACUUUACAGAUUAAAAUAAAAUAAAGAAUGUUAAGUUCAUUCAACUAAACAACAUUGCAUUAACGUUAUGUAAUUAACUUAAGUUUACUGAAAUAAAUAUUGUUACUUAAAUGCAACCUAACUCAGUUACGUGGAACCUGUUGACAUAAAAAAGUUAAGUAAUUCCAACAUAUAAUUUUUUUGAGUGAAGUGUCUGUCUUCAGCAAUCGUUUCUACAACGAUUGUUUUUACACUGCAAUGAACUUAAGUUUAAGUGUUUUUACACUGUAAUGAAUUUAAGUUUAAGUGUAAAUUUAAGACCAUAAACAGGUAAGAUUUCAAAACUUUCUUCUCGAAUAUGUCCUCAUUCAGACUGUGCCGUAAAUGUCCGUCUUGUCUUCUGGGCUCAAAAGGAACAGCUCCUGACAACCGCUCUUUAAAGAGCUAAUUAAAUACCUUAACUCAAAUUGUAAUUAUUGUCUAAUUAUUUAUGGAACAAUAAUCCUAUUUAGGGGCUAGAUGUAAAUUAUAGCCUACCUUACUUAUCAUAUUUGAUUUGAUAAGUAAGGUAGGCUUACACACACACAAAAGAGACACUAUCGAAGAAUACAAGAUACAAGAAACAUCAUGACCAUGACGCCUUUUGACGAAGUUUCAUUCAAAGGUAAUUUUAGUUUUGGGGAAAGUCAGAAGUCCCAGGGCGCCAAAUCUGGGCUGUAGGGGGGUUAAGUCACCUGGGUGAUUUGAUGUUUUGCCAAAAAAAAAAAAAAAAAACUCUGCAUCAUUCGCGAUGUCGGGCGCACUGUCGUGAUGAAGCUGCCAAUCACCAGUUGCCCGCAGCUGCGGCUAUUUCACUCUUAUUACAUCACUAUUUUUCAUACUUUGAGGACUGCCCUCGUGUAUGUAUAUUUUGUUGUUGGGAAAUUACAUUUUAUAUGAUUAAAUUGGACUUGAAUUGACUAAAAUUGACUUGAGCUAUAGAUUUAACCACUGUACACUGUACUCAAAUCAAGACAACACGAAAUAGUGGUUACUAAACACUAGGUCAUUAUCAAACAUUUAGCCUGGCUCUGAUAAAGAUGUGUGUAAAGCUGUUGUUUAAUGAAAACAUGUCGUCUAUUAAGACAAAAAAGAAAGAAAGAAAGAAAAAUAGCUGCCUAUUUAUAAAUGUGAUGCAGGAGUGUGUAAGAUUAAUUGAAAAGAUAAAGAGUGAAAGAAAUAUCUGAAAGAACAAAUUAAAUGUCUUUCACGCUACAUUCCACACAUACCAGCCAUUUCAACCUGACUUCUGACUGACUGAGAGGGCAGGUCUAUGGUAACAUGUUAACUUUAUUAUAGACUACCUUAAAAUAACAUGGGCUGCGUUUCUCGAUUAGCCUAUGCUGUCUCUUAGCGCGCUACGAAGACUCUAAUACCUAAACUAAAGGUGUACCAUUACUAGGCGUGUUCCCCGAUCUAUACCUCAGGAGGCUGCUUAAAAUAUACCUUCUUACGUGCGACGUUACCAGGUGCUGUCCAUGGCGGUGGGGCUGAAUUGGUUGAUAUCGAUGGCUCGAGAAUCGAUUAUUCAUUCUGUGCACGGGCUGAUUCACUGACGUGUUCUUUAUAAAGUAAGUGUUGACUUGAAACAAAGACAUGGGGGGGGGGGGGGUGCUACACUGGACACUGCUUAAUAAUUUAACAGCUUUUAACAAAAGAGAGACAGAGAGAAAGAGAGAGGGAGAGGGAGAGGGAGAGAGAGAUAACACCUUGGGCCUACACAAGUCCAACAACAAAAAAAAAACCUAUAUUAGGCUUAAUUAUAUUAAUUUUACACACAUACAUCGAUAAAUAUAUCCUGUCUUAAUUGUUUAGCAUUUUAGAAUGCAUAUUAGGGCAUAUUAGCUAUCCACUGGUUCACAUUUACAACUGUGUUUGCAGAGUUAAAAUAUGGGUAGAUUUUUGCAUUGGCCUGAACAAAAACAGCAGACACUUAUUAAAAACGUAAAUUUGCCAUCAAAAUAUAAUCUGAAGACAAACAUUUCCUAGAGAUACGCCAACAUUCAAAACACUCGCGCUGCCUUUUGACUUUGAAACUUUUGUGAAAUCAUAGACUUUUGUAGUUCAAUAGGCACACUAGGCCUCACUACCAUUCUUCUCUUUACUGUAUGCCAACCACCUGAUUCUGAAGAUUUCAGUGAAAAUGCAUUUCAGCAACGCAAUCUUUAUUUCUUUCAUUUUUCUGUUUGACUCAUACAAUAGGCGCAACUAUUGUAACUGCCCUAGGUUAUGCAAUUCCGUGACGAUGAUGAUGAUGCAUUUAAAGGAUUUUUUUUGUCUCAGUCUCAGUUCCAUAAUGAUGCAUAUAAUUAUAGGUCUCUUCCCUUUGUUUAUUUUUUCCAGAUAGGCUACUCGACAGCAGAGGCUAAAUGAAUAUAAUAGGCCAACUGAUUUCAGGUAAUUGCGCUUACGUGAACAAUGGUGAAGACGGAACAUUCCGUUAUUAAUGAUGACGGUGUGGGUAUUAUUAUUAUUGCACACACUCAUUAUUAGUGGAGUGGAACACAACCUGCCACACGCUCAGAGUCUACAGACCUGAAUUCAUAGAGCGCGAGGUCCUGGGUGUGAGUCUAUGUGCUCGUGUGGUUUGUGUGGGGAAAGUUAACUGCGUGCGGUGAGGCGCUGGUAUAAAGAUUCGCUUGUGAUGUUGGCGCAACACUUCGAAUGGGAGCUUCGCUUUCCAGCUGUCUGAGAAAAUGAUUUUCUCUUAUCCGUUUUAUGAAAGAAAGAAAAAACCAACCGUUCAUUCAUAAAAAAAAAUUGGGACUUGCCCGGAGCUUAUUUCGAAUUGAAAAGUGAAAGCACUGUUUCUGCGAUAAUCUGCGGUCUCCUGAUAAUGAUGACAGAUCUUGUCCAACGUUUAGUCAAAGUAAUGAAAAUACCGCAAUUAUAGUAAUUUAUAGUUACAUAAUUUAGAAAUUCAAGGCAAGAACGCUAUCUUUUUUUCCUUUUUUUUCUUCAAUGUGAUAUUCGCGAACUUUCUCCCAUUAGCUAUAUGGUUUUUGUGUGUUUGACUCAUAAGAAAUGUCCAAAGUAAUCAUAUUUAUAUCCAAAAAAAAAAAAAAACGAAUUCAUUGUAAAUAGACUACACCAGUCAUCGUUUUUUAUAAGCUUCUUAAGAUUAUUUAGAUAUCAGGACAACAGAAGUGUCGUAUAUACUUGAUAAAAGACAAUGUUAGACGCAUGAUAAGCUAUAACAAAAAAUAACAAACGAUCGAAACAUGGCAUUUAUUUUCAAGAAAUAUAGCAUAAUCACACUUUUCCCUCAAAGCAUUUCACAAAACGAAGUUCGACAGGUUUCAGAAUAUGAAACAAUAUAUUGUUCAGAAUAAUUCUUCAGAAUGAAACGUCAUGGACACUUUCUGUCUGUCAAACCUUGUUAAACAUGUUCAUAGACAAUAUGAUGAACUUCUGUUGAGACUGACCAGCUGUUCUCAGUUCUGAGGAGAGCUUCACUUGUUUGCAGAUUUAGUUUGAUAUUUUAUAUUUUGUGACCAGCGAAAUGAGAUAGAUAGAUAGAUAGAUAGAUAGAUAGAUAGAUAGAUAGAUAGAUAGAUAGAUAGAUAGAUAGAUAGAUAGAUAGAUAGAUAGAUAGAUAGAUAGAUAGAUAGACAGAUAGAUCGAGAGAUACUACAUCCUCAUUAACCAAAGGAAAGGAAGGAGGCGCAGAGCGAAACAGCGAGUGCGGUUUACAAAAAAUCCAGAUACUAUUUAAUUCUUUCCAUUCAUCACUCAGAUUUAGUAU